rnacentral:tRNA from 1 species
GAAGUCUUGCGCUCGANNGUCGGUAGAGCAGAGGACUGAAAAUCCUUGUGUCGGUGGUUCGAUUCCGCCCUUGGCCACCA